GAUUAUAUAAUAGGGUUUUUCUGCCCAGUGUUAAAAUAAAUGGCCGCGGUACUCUGACCGUGCAAAGGUAGCAUAAUCACUUGUUCUUUAAUUGGGAACUGGUAUGAAAGAAAGUUUGAGGUCUAAUCUGUCUCUUUUUUGUUUUAAAAUUUGCUGUCUGUGUGAAGAAGCACAGGUUGUUAAAAAAGACAAGAAGACCCUUUUAAGCUUUAUUUAGAACUCUUUGGUUUUUUCUUUUAAGAAUGUUGGUCAAGGUCUAUAAAUUUGGUUGGGGUGACUGAAGAAGAGAAAAUCUUCUUUUGUUUGCUAGUACUUUAGGUUAAAAAAUGACCCAAGAUUUCUUGGUUGUAAGAAUUAGUUACUAAAGGGAUAACAGCGUAAUCUUUUCAAAGAGUUCUUAUUGAAGAAAAGGAUUGCGACCUCGAU
rnacentral:rRNA from 1 species